rnacentral:rRNA from 1 species
AGAAUCAACGCUGGCGGCGUGCCUAACACAUGCAAGUCGCACGAGAAAGGGACUUCGGUCCUGAGUACAGUGGCGCACGGGUGAGUAACACGUGAAUUAUCUACCUCCGAGUGGGGAAUAACUGAGAGAAAUCUUAGCUAAUACCGCAUAACACUUACGAGUCAAAGCAGUAAUGCGCUUGGAGAGGAGUUCGCGGCCGAUUAGUUAGUUGGCGGGGUAAUGGCCCACCAAGACGAUGAUCGGUA